GCCCCGGUGGCUCAGCCUGGUAGAUCAACCCAGCCCAAAGCAUUGCCUUGGUAAGGCAAGGGUCACGAGUUCAAAUCUCGUCCGGGGCU
rnacentral:tRNA from 1 species